GACGAACCGUGCGAACGUUAUUCGGAAUCACUGGGCUUAAAGCGCACGUAGGCGGCACUGUAAGUGUCGGGUGAAAUCCCACGGCUCACCCGUGGAACUGCCCGGCAGACUGUGGUGCUCGAGUGUGGUAGGGGAGAGCGGAACUCCUGGUGGAGCGGUGAAAUGCGUAGAUAUCUGGAGGAACACCGGUGGCGAAGGCGGCAUCCUGGACCGGCAUUGACGCUGAGGAGCGAAAGCCAGGGGAGCAAACGGG
rnacentral:rRNA from 1 species